rnacentral:rRNA from 1 species
AUUGAACGCUGGCUGCAGGCCUAACACAUGCAAGUCGAGCGAGCGGCGGACGGGUUAGUAAUGUCUGGGGAUCUGCCCGAUAGAGGGGGCUAACUCCUGUAAACGGUGUCUAAUACCGCAUACUAUCGGAUUAACCCCUAUGGGAUUAGCUAGUAGGUGGGGUAACGGCUCACCUAGGCGACGAUCUCUAGCUGGUCUGAGAGGAUGAUCAGCCACACUGGGACUGAGACACGGCCCAGACUCCUAAGGGAGGCAGCAGUGGGGAAUAGUGCACAAUGGGCGAAAGCCUGAUGCAGCCAUGCCGCGUGUAUGAAGAAGGCCUUAGGGUUGUAAAGUACUUUCAGCGGGGAGGCGUUACCCGCAGAAGAAGCACCGGCUAACUCCGUGCCAGCAGCCGCGGUAAUAC